rnacentral:rRNA from 1 species
UACGGAGGGUGCAAGCGUUAUCCGGAUUCACUGGGUUUAAAGGGUGCGUAGGAGGGCAGGUAAGUCAGUGGUGAAAUCUCCAAGCUUAACUUGGAAACUGCCGUUGAUACUAUCUGUCUUGAAUAUUGUGGAGGUGAGCGGAAUAUGUCAUGUAGUGGUGAAAUGCUUAGAUAUGACAUAGAACACCAAUUGCGAAGGCAGCUCACUACACAAUCAUUGACUCUGAGGCACGAAAGCGUGGGGAUCAAACAGG